UACGUAGGGGUCGAGCGUUGUCCGGAGUUACUGGGCGUAAAGCGCAUGCAGGCGGCUCAUUACGCAUGGCGUGAAAGCCCCCGGCUCAACCGGGGAGGGUCGUCGUGAACGGGUGAGCUUGAGGGUAUCAGGGGCUGGUGGAAUUCCCGGUGUAGUGGUGAAAUGCGUAGAGAUCGGGAGGAACACCUGUGGCGAAGGCGGCCAGCUGGGAUACACCUGACGCUGAGAUGCGAAGGCGUGGGGAGCGAACGGGAUUAGAUACCCCUGUAGUCCCU
rnacentral:rRNA from 1 species